rnacentral:rRNA from 1 species
UAUAGCUUGACAUUGGUGUUUGGGAUGGUUUGUGUAGGAUAGGUGGGAGCCGGUGAAGUCGUCACGCCAGUGGCGGUGGAGGCGUUGGUGAAAUACCACUCUGACUGUUUCGGGCAUCUAACCUUGGGCCGUGAUCCGGUUCGGGGACAGUGUCUGGUGGGUAGUUUAACUGGGGCGGUUGCCUCCCAAAAGGUAACGGAGGCGCCCAAAGGUUCCCUCAGCCUGGUUGGUAAUCAGGUGUCGAGUGUAAGUGCA